rnacentral:rRNA from 1 species
UACGUAGGGAGCAAGCGUUGUCCGGAAUCAUUGGGCGUAAAGCGCGCGUAGGUGGCUUCGUAAGUCCGCUGUGAAACUCGGGGCUUAACCCGAGCCUGCAGUGGAUACGGGCAGACUAGAGGUAGGUAGGGGAGAAUGGAAUUCCUGGUGUAGGCGGUGAAAUGCGCAGAUAUCAGGAGGAACACCGGUGCGAAGGCGGGUCUCUCGGGCCGGAUACUGACGCUGAGGAGCGAAGCGUGGGAGCGAACAGG